rnacentral:lncRNA from 1 species
AACAUACAGAAAAGUAUCCAAGUUUAUAUCUAUUAACAGCUAUUUAAAAAAAAAAAACAGUUCAGCAGCUACAAAAGAUAACCCAGAGUACAGGCCCACUAUACUCUGAAAACUGUAAGACACCAAAGAGGCACAAGAAAAUAACAUGUUUAGUGUUUGAAAAAACUAAUAUCGUUAAUAUGUUCAUACUACUAAAGCUAUAGAAUUGAUAUAAUUCCCACCAAAAUUCCAAAGAUAUUUUCCAGAAACAGAAAAAAAAAUCUUAAAAUUUGAAUGGAACCAUGAAAGACGCCAAAUAAACCAAAGCAGCCGUGGCUUAGUAGGUAAGGUACUUGGGGACACACCUGAGAACCUGAGUUCAGGCCCCAGGACCCACAUGGUAGAAGGAAACAACUCCUGCAAUUUGUCCUCUGGCUUGCAGAUGUGCAUCAUGGUAUAACCACCCACACACCUAUAUUAGAGGGUAAUGCUGUGUUUUUCUUGUACUUUAUAAUACAACUUUAAAUGGUUAUAGAGCCACAAAAGAUCCCUAACAACCAGAAUGAUCUUAAACAGAAAGAACCCAUGUGGAACUAUCUACAAAUAAUUUAAAAUGUCUCACAAACCAUAGUAAUAAAACAGAAUGUGAAGACAUAGACCCUGCCUCAAAAAUAAUGAAAUGGUCUGGAGAGAUGGCUCAGUGGUUAAGCACUCAUCCCUCUUCUAGAGGACCCAAGCUUGAUCAGUAGCAUCCAUAUGGCAACUCAUUAUCAUCUAACUCCAGUUCCAGUGUGUCCAAUGUUCUCUUCUGGCCGCCUUGGACACUGCACUCAUGGUACACAGAUACAUAGCAAGCAAAACACCCAUACACACAAAAUGAAAAACUUAAUAAUUAAAAACACCAGCCAGGCAUGGUAGUUGUACCUCCACUAACUCCAUUGUUUGGGAGGCUAAGACAGGAGGAUUGGCAGUUUUUAGUUUUUAUUAGGGUGUGUAUGUAUGUAUGGGUAUGUAUGUGUGGGUGCAGGUAUCCUUGAACAGAGGUGAUGAAUCCCCUGAAGUUGUAGUUAGAGGCAGUUGCAAACCCCAACAUGGAAUCUGGAAACCAACCUUGGGUUCUUUGAGAAGCAGGAAGUACUCGUAAGCACCACUAAGCCAUCUCUAGCCUGAGUCUCUGUUUCUUUGUUUUGUUGUUGUUUUGAGAUCUGAAAUGACAUACCCCUGGCUAGCCUGAAACUCACUGUGUAGACCAGGCUGGCCUCAAAUUCAGAGAUCCCUCUGCUUUUGCUUCCCACGUGCUGGCAGUAAAGAUGUGCACCACCAUGCCUGGCAGACCCCAAAUCUUUAGAAACAAAAGGUCAGCAAUAAACUGUGAGCUUGGCAUGUACAAGGUUAGGACUGAGAAAAAAAGGACUCUAUCAUAUAAUCCCACAAUCCCAUUGCUGGAUAUACAUCUAAAGAAAAUGAAGGGCUGGCAAGAUGGCUCAGCAGGUAAGACCACUGACUGCUCUUCCAAAGGUCCUGAGUUUAAAUCCCAGCCACCACAUGAUGGCUCACAACCACUCAUAACAAGAUCUGACUCCCUCUUCCGGUGCAUCUGAAGACAGCUGCAAUGUACUUAUGUAUAAUAAUAAAUAAAUCUUUGGGCUGGAGCAACCAGGGACUGAGCAAGGGGGACGGGCCAGAGCCGGCAGAGGUCCUAAAAAUUGCUACAGUGUACUCAUAUACAUAAAAUAAAAUAAAUAAAUCUUU